rnacentral:lncRNA from 12 species
AACUCGAAGACAAAACCAAGGAUUAACAGAUAAAGGAUCUAUGUGGCUGAGAAGAAGCAUGGGUUGUGCACCAAGCUUGUGGAAGCCUUUGAGCAGACAAGCACAGGGCCAGAUGCCACCCACCCUACAUGGCACACCCCACCUUUCUGCAAGUGCAGGCAUUGGAUGGAACUGCAUGGUACACUGAUCUGCUAAUGAUGGUGCAAGAAGAAAC